rnacentral:tRNA from 1 species
AUUUAUGUAGUUUAAAAAACAUUACACUUUCAGUGUAAAAAUAAAAUUUAAUAUUUUCUUAAAUA